rnacentral:lncRNA from 1 species
CUCUGUUUUCCCAAAUUUACUUCUAAGAAUGAGCCUAUAGAUGAAAUUAUUCCCUUGGAGCUAGCUGGCACGGGCUAACCCUAUCUUCCUCAGCAGAGCUUGCACGGGGUGGCAGAUCCUCUUUUCAUUUCCUAGAAGCAAGAAGGGAGCCAGAAGCCCAGUUCUCAGGAGAUGAGGCUACCAGGAGAGAACAGAGAAGAAAAGACACUCUGAAAAAGGAAAAGAUGAGAGUUCUUAUGGAAAAAUGUGCCUUGGGAAAAAUUACAAUACUACAGCAAGGAGCCAUGAGACAAGCUCAGAGUGUGAGAUGCACAGUUUUUCCAGAGUUCCAACACCUGGAGCAGAAUUAUCACUGUCCAGAUGAUGACCAAAACAAGAAUAAUCCAGCACUGUAAAGGAAAUUUUCAAGGGACAGGGUCUUGCUGUAUCACCCAAGGUGGAGUGCAUUGGCAUAAUCAUGGCUCACUGCAGACUUGAACUCCUGGGCGCAAGCAAUCCUCUCAUCUCAGCCUCCCAAAGUGCUGGAAUUACAGAUGUGCACCACUGCGCCAGCUUAUUUCUGGAUUAAGUUUUGGCAGAUAAGAGUGUUGGCCUCACACAGGCCGCAUCUGUCCUGGGGCUCAUUUGUCCUUCUUCAACCUCCUCCACAGUUAGAGGCUCCUGAACUACAAUGGCAACGAUUGAAGAAACUGUUGUUGAAAAGUCCACGCCAAAUUCUCGGUAUGUCACUGAAGACAAGGACAUUUUGGGUAGAACCAGGCUGCUAAUCCACUCUUGCCAGGAGGGAAGAUUUUUUCUCUUUCUGUAGUGAGCAACAACGCCACUCGAUGAAGAAACUGAGGUUCAUGGAAGUUAAAUAACUUGCCCACAGGGCACAACUAGUAGGCAGCUAAGCUAGGACUUCAACUGAGGUCUGUAAGACUUAAAGCACAUGCUAUUCCUGCUCCUCAAUAGCUUUCCUGCUAAGCACCAAGAGACGCUAGGCUGCCAGGAACAUCACAGCAGAGACCACCGUCAAUCAAUGCAUCUCCACCGUCUUUUAGACAUUCUUUUGAAGAAAGAUUUAGCUGCUAAAAGAAAAGAUGAAUAUACAAAAAGGAUAAUACUACCAUAUUUCAUCAUAUUGUCUCGUUUUAAUACAAGAAGACUCAUCCAGCUUAAACAUUUGAUGUUUAAGAAGCUAACCAGCAAGCUGCCCUCUGGGAAUGCAUACCAUCAGGUAUGGAUCAGUGGCCCUGAGAUCAUGUUCAUAACUCAGCAGCUUUGUACAAGCUGUCAAGACUCAGAACAUGGUACCCCAAAGUAUGGCACCUUGGUGUGCUGAGUACUGUGGACUGAAGGACAUCGGAAAUGUCUCAGAAGCUAUGUCUCUUUGACCUUCUCCCAGCCUCCUGUCUCCUACCUGUCUUUCUCCCUUGAAGUGAGUCAUGGCAACCAUAAUUCCUCUUUCCCAAGGUGUGUCACAGAAACUAGAACCCCUCUCCUCCAAGGGAAGCCGUGAAACCUAGAAAGGUCACUCUCUGCCUUCCCCCUUCUCCCUUGAAGACCCUCAUUCCAGAGGGGCCCUGCCCCAUAUUCAGGAGGGUUACACAAAGAGGUUAAGAAGAAUUUGAACAUUCAGGCCUUGCUGGGUUCCCUGCUCAGUCUAUCAGCAUUAGAUCACACCCUUUAGUCCAUCACAUUUCUACACCGCUGUCCAUUCUUCAUCAAACCGAAGAAUAAAAAAAGUUUUCCCUGGGUCUUUGGAUCUUCAUUUCUGAGGAGUCCCAUGUUACAUAAAACUUUGAUUACCUUCAUUAUGCUUUUCUCUUGUUAACCUGUCUUUUGUUAUAGGAGUGACCGUUAUGAUAGGUGAGGAAAGAUAUCACACAUUUCUGCCCCUACAAAGCCAAAAAUGUUGGCCGAGGAAUGCUGCUAAGCUCAAGGCCGUAGCUACUCACAAGCUUUUCUCUCCACUACCAAGACCUGUAGAUACAAUGUGAAUAAUUUUAACCUUGAUAUAGAAGGGAGCCAAUGCAGAAAAUAACUUCUCAGUUAUCCACAAAAGCUAGUAAAAGAGCUAACAUUCAUGUAUUUUUUUUCCCAACAAAUAUUUAUUCAACAUCUACUAAAUGACAGGUACAGUUCUAGGAACAGGGGUCCAGUAAUGAACACAAUUCCAAAAGUCCAUGGCUUCAUGACAAUUAUAUUCUUG